GAUGAACGGCUGGCGGCGUGCCUAACACAUGCAAGUCGAGGCGAGAAGCUCAUCACAGAUGCUUCGGUUGAAGUGAUGAGUGGAAAGCGGCGGACGGGUGAGUAACGCGUAGGCAACCUGCCCUUUGCAGAGGGAUAGCCUCGGGAAACCGGGAUUAAAACCUCAUGACACCUCUUAAAGACAUCUUUGAGAGGUCAAAGAUUUAUCGGCAAAGGAUGGGCCUGCGUCUGAUUAGCUAGUUGGUGGGGUAACGGCCUACCAAGGCGACGAUCAGUAGCCGACCUGAGAGGGUGAUCGGCCACAUUGGAACUGAGACACGGUCCAA
rnacentral:rRNA from 1 species